rnacentral:lncRNA from 1 species
UGGACUUCAUUCAGCUUCAUUGUUUAGUUUCCAGCCUUGGUUCUUAUGCUGUAGGGAGUAAGUGGAGCUUUAUUGUUUAGUUUCCAGCAUUGGUCUUAAUACUCACUGCAUUUGCUUACUUAUGUCAUUGGUAUUUGUUGUGCUUUUUACUUGCAAGUUUAAUGCAACGCAUAUGCUAACCAAAACAGAGUGUCAAUAAAGAAUUGAUGGUAGAUCUUUGGACAUGCCAUUAUGUUUGGAGUUUUACCUACAAUAGAAAAAGGAGGAGCAAGUAAGCUUUUCAAGAGCUUCAAUUUCUUCCAAUGAAUGCUUGCUUUAUGUUUGUGCAUGAACUGAGAUAUUGAGGAAGUACUGCAACUUGUCAACAGAUUUGCCUUCUUGAUCUUAUUCAACAUUGAGCCAAUGCAAAUUGAAGCUAUUUCCUAAGCUCUUUCUGAUUUUUGAGCCUUCAGAGGAACCAUAUGCGCUUCGAAAAUUUAGCCUUCCUUGAGAGGUAAUUUACCUUUGUUUCAUUGUGAUGUUUUUAGCAUUCUCAUGAACUCUUUCCCCUAAUUUAUCAAUUGGUUUAUAUGAAUUCAGAAUUUGCCAAA